GCAGGUUGAAGCGCGGGUAAGACCGCGUGGAGGACCGAACCCACCUGGGUUGAAAACCGGGGGGAUGACUUGGGGUUAGGGGUGAAAGGCCAAUCAAAUUCCGUGAUAGCUGGUUCUCUCCGAAAUGCAUUUAGGUGCAGCGUCGGGGAUUACGUCCGGGGGGUAGAGCUACUGGAUGCUUGAGGGCCCGUAUCGGGUACCGACAGCAGCCAAACUCCGAAUACCCGUGACGCGUAUCCCGGCAGUGAGUCGGCGGGGGAUAAGCUCCGUCGUCGAAAGGGAGACAGCCCAGAUCGUCGUCUAAGGUCCCCAAGCGCGUGCUAAGUGGGAAAGGAUGUGGAGUCGCAUAGACAGCCAGGAGGUUGGCUCAGAAGCAGCCACCCUUGAAAGAGUGCGUAACAGCUCACUGGUCUAGUGGUUCCGCGCCGACAAUGUAGCGGGGCUCAAGCACGCCACCGAAGACGCGGCAGCGUCCGUUUGGAUGCUGGGUAGGAGAGCGUCCCCAUCGGGGCGAAGCGGCGGCGCAAGCCUGCCGUGGACCGUUGGGGAGUGAGAAUGCAGACAUGAGUAGCGAGAGGCGGGUGCGAAUCCCGCCCGCUGGAUGACCAAGGGUUCCGGGGCCACGUUCGUCGUCCCCGGGUGAGUCGGGUCCUAAGGCGAGGCCGACAGGCGUAGUCGAAUGGAUGAACGGGCUGAUAUUCCCGUACCGGCAGCGAACCGAAACAACCGAGGCCUGGGGCGCUAACCUCCGGGUCCGUGCCGUCUCCCCUUUCGGGGGGUCGCGGCGCGGGCGCGUUGGGAUCCCCCCUCGUAGUAGGUCAGCGCAGGAGUGACGCAUCAGGGCAGCCGGCCGCGGAGGUGGUUUUCCGUGGUCAAGCGUUCGAGCCCGUCCCGCAGGCAAAUCCGCGGGGCGUCGGGGCGAGGCGUGAUGAUGGGGGCCUUACGGCCCGAAUCCGGUGAUCCGUGGUGCCGAGAAAAGCUUCGGCGUCAGGCGCGUUGCCGCCCGUACCCCAAACCGACACUGGUGGUCAGGUAGAGAAUACCAAAGCGAUCGAGCGAAUCCUGGUCAAGGAACUCGGCAAAUUGCUCCCGUGCCUUCGGCAUAAGGGAGACCCCCUGCGGUGAUGAGCGGCGGGGGGUGGCACAGGCCAGGGGGUAGCGACUGUUUACCAAAAACACAGGAGCGUGCGAAGGCGCAAGCCGCUGUAUACGCUCUGACGCCUGCCCGGUGCCGGAAGGUUAAGAGGAUCCGUCAGCUUUCUGCGAAGCGGUGAAUUCAAGCCCCGGUAAACGGCGGUGGUAACUAUAACCAUCCUAAGGUAGCGAAAUUCCUUGUCGGGUAAGUUCCGACCUGCACGAAUGGCGUAACGA
rnacentral:rRNA from 1 species